CCUGCCACCAUCAUAUCCCUUGAAACACAUUGACGGCCAACAAUUUAAAAGACCCCGGGCCCUGAGAAGGAGGAACAUCCAAUAGAUCUCAUUGCAAUCAUCUGUCACCUGCAACCGUCUCUUCCUUAUGACUGUAAACAAAUACAUGGCUGCUGACAGUAUCGGUGGCCACGUCCUUUGUGCCUUCCCUGAGCAGAAACUCAGCACCAUCUGUGGCUGGAUUGUGCGUGCAGGUUGAAGAUACAGCCUGGCCACCUGAGAUGAAACCCUGGUUUGUUUGCCCUCUCAAAUAAACAGAGUUCCUGUUGUAAAAAGCUAUAAAGAAAUUCAGCAUUGACAUCAUGAGUGAUGGGCCCUGGAUGACGGAUGUCGAGCCGGAUCUCUUGCCACCACCGUGUGAUACUGCUGUCCACUGAGUUAAGGUUCAUAAAUCAACAGAAACUCUACACUGUGUGAACCAGCGACCACACAGGUUAAUGGUGAGCCGCAGAGCAAAGAGUCUGGGACGAAAAAGUCUGCGCAGUGUUCAUUUGUCUAACAGGAGCGUCUGAGGGACAGUCAACAGUGAGUGCGACAUUAAACACUGAAUCUUUGUUAUUGUGUGCAGAGAAUCUGUAGAGAAACAUAAUGAAAGAAGUGGAUAAUGUGUUUUUUUUCCUCCUCUAAUUGUAUUUAAGGCCCCAUCCACACACGUUUUUGUUUUAAAACAGAGACCUUUUGCUACGUUUGCACCUCCCGUCCAGACUAAAAUGGCUAAAACGAAAGCCUAAAUCAGAGAAGUUUGAAAACCCUGCCGACCAUUUUUAAAACUCCGGGUAGUGCUUAAGCGCGGACAUGCGAAAACAGAGGACUUUAGAAAUGAUGACGCAGACGCUCAUGUUUGCCUCUCUGAUUGGGUCUUAUCAGUCAUGCAAAGCAAAAACACAAUGCUACUGACAGAGUUUUUGAAAAAAGCUGGUGUGAUUCUUUGUCUGCACUAAUUUAUUCUUUCGCCAAAACUUCUGUAACUACAGAAUAGACCAUCUGCUUAAUGUUUACAAACAUGAACGGCCACUAGAUGUGCAUUUUCAGUCGUUUUAAUGUAGACAGAGAUCAACUCUGAUACGCAGCUAAAACACUGGUGCGGAGAUCGUAUUUGUUUUAAAACUCUGUUUUUAAACUAAAACGGAGUAGUGGUGAUUGGGCCUAAGUAACUCACGCUUUACAAAUUGCAGUCUCUCAUUACUAUUUGCAACGUUAGCUGCUCACCUGAUGGCUCAACCUGCCCAAAAUGGUGCUGUAACCUUUCUAAUGGCUUAUAAAGAGUGGGUUUAGUUCAAAUGACUUUGGGUAUGUUGCUGCGGAUGAGUGACUUUUCAAAAUGGGAGCAACAUGAAAAAACUCUGCAAUACUGUGUUUAGGUGAUGAAAGGCUCUGAAGCAUAAUAUUCCAAGUAGGGUUAUGUAUUAAUGUUAACAGUGUGGUGGGUGUUUUUCAUUACCAUGGCUACUAUGCCCUCACACUUGUACACACACACACACACACAUACGCACACACAUACACAAACACAAACUAUGACACACAAGUAAUUGGAGAAUUAGAGCGGACCCUCCAGACCAACAGUACACCUCAGUUACACAGAUGCGUCUCUUUUUGUACCUAUAGCUGAUGAUGACACAGUCUGCUCAGGCACAAAUCAAUAAGACUAUUAAUUUCAGGGCCUUGUUUGUAUUUGCUGAUGGUGCUGGCAUUGCCAUCUGUUAAAGAGAACAGAUCAGGGCCAGGGGUCCAUAAAGUGGUUCAAUCAGGCUCAGGCUGUCAAUGAGGACCCUUGCAGAUUCAACCUGACCUGCCCCCACACUGUGAAUCUGAAAUGCUUAUGCGAAAUUCCUUAUGUGGGGAAAGUGACAUUGAAGGGAUUUAUUAUUAACUCCGUGAUGGUCACUGCUGAAAUAAAGUGCUCAAUGGGUAACUUUGGUAGAUAUGAGUCAUUUAAAGGCUCUAAAUAAAUCUUUAGUAAAUGAGGAAUAAUCUGGAAAUACUAACUUAUAAUGUUUUUUCUGUCAGGCUAGCCAUGUGGUUCUACAAAGUACUUUGGUCCAGAGUGAAAUAUCUCAACUAUUAAGUCACUAUGAAAUUUUAAAAGACUUUUCCUCUAGCAUCAUCAGGUCAAAAUUUGGAUAUAUCCAAAAACUUUGUUUUAUGACCAAAUACCUGCAAAACUCACAACAUACCCAUCAGCCUCAGCUGUAUUGUUUAGUGCUAAUUAGCCAAUUAUAGCAUUAGUAUGGUCUACUAAGGUAAACAUGGUAAAUAUCAUACCUGGUAAACAUCUGCAUGCUAGCAUUGUCAGUAUGAGCAUGUUAGCAUGCUGAAAUCAGCAGUUAGGCCUAGCUUAAAACACUGGAGCACAAAGCAUCUCUCUUAAUGGGGUGACGUGUCUCCCCAUUAAGAGAGACGCUGUGUGCAAUUACGCACAUGCACAGCAGCAUAAUUUCAUUGAUUAUUUAAAUCUCCCAAGACAGGAUCGUACGUGUGUACUGACAGCAGCCUAUCUAAUCAUUAAAGUAAAUCAUUCAAGAAAACACUCAUACAUCAAUACAACACACCGUGAAGAAAUGACCUGGAAGACAGAGAUGUGGCCCACAACCAGGUCAUCAUAAUAAUGCAGGAUGAGGAGACAGACCAACGUAUAUAACGCAGAUCAGUCUGUCUGUUGUUAACAGAAACUCCAGUCUGCAGUGUAGUUCAUACACUUCACUCAUAACCCAAUGAACUGUAACAUUAGAUCAUAUGAAGGUUUUUAUAUCAUGUUGACACUACAGUCACAUGCUCCUCUCUCGCUCUUCUUUCUCCAUCACAUUUUAAAAAGAAACAUUUUAUUAUGGUUUGUAUAAUGUGACAUUCAUCCGCAUUUGAAUAGGAACGCUGGAAGGGAAUGUAAGAUGACACUCUGACUGGUUUAAAUCAUGUUACGGCCAAAACAUACCCAUGAUUAAUGACUGACCACAACCCCUUUGCACCUUACUUUGCACCCAGAUUAUUCACCAUUUAACUAGCAUUUAACUAGAGUUGGACAUGCCCUAAAUGCACUUGCAGAGCUGGCAUAGCUUCUUGAGACCACAUUCCUUGUCCCAGCUUACUAGAUCUCACUGGGAGACAGACCUCAAAACAGGAAUGUAAUUAGAUUAAAACCCUCUGUCAACACAUUUUGCCUGUGGCUGAAUUUAAUCGUACGCUUUGGGAAAAGCUGUUUUUAAUCCUGUUUAACUUUUAGCUAAAAGUCACCCUCUGUGAGAAGGUAACAGGCUCAGAUGGGGUACCCAUGUGUGGAGAUUUUCUUGGAUAAUUCUAGAAAAGGAUUCAAUAUGUUUUCUCUAGGGGACUGUCUGGACAUUUUGUACCCUGUCAGCCAGUAUAAAUAACACUAAUUAACUGCGACAGAUGUCAAUAAAACCUAAUGGAAUGGUUUCCUCAAUUUGUGGCCUCCAAUCUUAACUUACGGCUUUCACACACUACUGCUGUGUAUGACCAAUACAUCAUGUACCCAUUUCACCAGCUUCUUAUAUAAGUGGUCAAGUGAUGCAAAUAGAAAAAUGUCAACCUUUUUCUUUUUUUACAGAUGGCAGGUUUGUGUGUGAGCCUGGGAUUCUACAUGUAUAUGUUCAUAAAAAAUCUACGGCCAUGUGCUGUCCCAAUAUGUUUGAACCUGUUUAAACAAGUGUGUGUCACAAAAAGAAGCCACUCAGCAAAGUGUACUAUUGCCCAUUAACUGUUUUUUUCUCCCCUUGAAUAAGAAUAUAAAAUUCACAACAAUCCUCCAAGUGAAAACAAUCUAAUAUGGGACCUUUAAAAGUCAAAUACGAAUUUAAAACUGCCACUAACACAUAACUGGCUUGAGGCAUGAAAGUUGCUGCUUAGGGUUCCAUAGCCACUAGCAAACUAAUCAUCCUUUUGAAAAUUAUGCAGGUAUGUUAUGUGCUCUUCAGUACACCACAGUCUUUAUACUACCAGUGGUAUCUUAUAGAAGAGGUUUCAAACCUGGGGUUUGAGAAUUAUAAAAUAAUAAGACUUUAUUCCUAAAUUACCUUGUAUGACCUGGUGUACACUUCGGUCUAGUUAAAACUGCUGUGACCUCUAAACAAUAAAAUCAGCUCCACGAAUAGAGACUAUUUAUUAUGCUCCUUUUCUUUAUAACAAAUACGGUGAAGGACAGAAAGAAUGACAAAGAAAGAAAAAGAGAUGGUGGUGGGGAACGAGGGGGUUGAGGCGUUUGGAGAGGCAGGUCAGCCUCCCUCAUCAGAGUAAAGAGGAUAAUUGGAGGCUGACCCUCUGACGUCCAUCAUCCUCUGCUGAAUAGCAGGGUGACAGUGACUAACACUGUUCCGGUGCACCAGGAGCAGCUGCAUCAUGUGCACACGCAAGCUCAAAUGUACACUGCAGUUCACACUCCAAACACACGCCCACACACGCACAUUCUCAUGCACACACUAAAAAACCUGUAACCUUACAUACAGUCUUAUUUGUAUGUGUAGUGCCCACUCAGUGGAGUUGUCACUCACUUAUGCGUGUAAUUAGGGCUCUUUGGUUAGGCUGGAUGAGUACUCAAUAAAUACACCGAGUAGUAAUAAAGGAGGUUUUUGAGGUGUUUGUUUGUGUGUGUGUGGAAUGAGUGGGUUCAUGUGUGCAUUUACUGAUGUUUUUUUUUUUUUUCCUUUCCUGGUACAUGCUGCUCAGAGCAGAAAGUUAACCUGUCAGAACAAGUAAAAUAAUGUGUUUCUCUUGAAUCAAAGUUAAUUCACAGUGACAGGAUUAUCCAAAGACGGGAAAAGAUUAAUUUGAUCUUACAUCAGGGAAAUAUUUUUGUAUGUACACUUUGGGAGUUGACAUCAAAACUGCAAGAGCUCCUCUGAACACUCAUCAUUUUGCACUAAUGUUCGAGAAUCAUCUACCAUGCAAUGUGGCCAAAAGAUAACAGGUUUUCAUAAUGGGCAUAACCAAAUAUUCUCAAAUGGAAAAACUACCCCAAAGUUAAACCUAAGUGUCUUAGAUGACUCCUCUGUGUUGACUUUUUCCCUUUUCGCCGAGACAGUUUGGCCGACUCUGAUUGAGGAAAAGUACUGCGGCUCAGUAAGUCACGCAAUAACUUGCGUCUGGACAUACUAUUUGUGAUGACACAUCAGUUGUGGAUGGGAAACCCUGUGACAUACUGAAUUGCUUGUGUUUACAAUCACACUGCAUCAAGUGUAUUGGCAUAUGUCAUCCUAGUCGCUAAGAUUGAAAGAAAAACAUGUAAGAAUGCAAUAUCUGGUAAGUAGGCUACUAUUGGAAGAAUCAAACAUCU